AGCGUGAUAGCUCAAUUGGUAGAGCGUCGGUCUCCAAAACCGAAGGUUUCAGGUUCGAGCCCUGAUCGCGUUG
rnacentral:tRNA from 2 species